AUCUUCCCAACCCAGGAGUCCAACCCACGCCUCCUGCAGCUCCAGCAUUGCAGGAGGAUGCUUUACCGCUGAGCCACUGGGGAGGCCCAAAGUUGACAUAUGAUAUUAUAUUUGUUUCAGGUGCACGACAGAGUGAUUCCAUAUUGUUAAACAUUAUGAAAUGAAUUGCUAGGAUAAGUUUGGUUACCAUGUGUCACCGCAGAGAUUUCUUACAAGAUUAUUGACUAUAUUUCCUGUAUGUACAUUCCAUUCCCAUGACUUAUUUUAUAACUGGAAGUUUGUAUCUCCUAAUGCCUUCCCUGUUUCACACAUCUCCCUCCUCCCUCCUCCUCUGGUAACCACCAGUUUGUUCUCUGUGUCUCUGAAUCUAUUUCUGUCUUGUUUCCCGUGUUCUCUUAUUUUAUCUCUGAGGUUGCACAUGUAAAUAAAACUGUGUGGUAUUUGUCUUUCUCUGUGUGCCUAGUUUUACUUGGCAUAACACCCUCUAGGUCCAUCCAUGUUGUCGACAAUGACAACAUUUCAUUCUUCUUUUAUUGCUGAGUAAUAUUCCACUGUGUGUGUGUGUGUGUGUGUGUGUGUGUGUGUGUGUGUACCAUUUCUUCCUUUUGGACUCAUCUAUCGAUGGGCACUUAGGUUCCUUUCAUAUCUUGGCUCCCCUUGGCUGUAAAUAACGCUUCAGAGAACUGAGGCGCACAUAUAUGUUUUGUGACUAGUGUUUCUUCUAUUCUUGAGAAAAAUACCGAGAAGUGGAAAUGCUGGAUCAUAUAGUAGUUCUUAUUUUCAGUUUUUGAGGAAACCCUCAUUGUCUCCAUAGUGGCUGCACCGAUAUACAUUUCGACCAACACCUCACGAGGGUUUCCUUUUCUCUACACCCUCCCCAACAUUUCUUACUUGUUGUCUUUUUGAAAACAGCUACUUGACAGGUUGAGGACGUACUUCACUGUGGUCAUGAUUUUCUAAUCCCUGAGGAGGAGAUGUUCAGCAUCUUUUCAUAUGUCUAUUAGCCAUCUGUAUCUCUUCUUUGCAGAAAUGUCUAUUCAGUGCUUUGCCCCAUUUUAAAAUCGGGUUUUGGGUGUUUUUCCCAAUACAUUCUAUGAGUCCUUUAGCUAUUUUGGAUAUCUACCUGUUUUCCGAUGUAUAUCACUUGCUCUUAUCUUCUCCCACUCAGCAGGUUGCCUUUUUCUUUUCUUGACGGUUUCCCUUGAUGAGUAAAAGCUUUUUAGUUUGAUGAACUCCCAUUUGUUUAUUUUUGCUUUUGUUGCUCUUGCCUGAGGAGACAUGUCAAAAAAGCUAUUGCUAAGACCUAUGUCAAAGAGCGUACUGCCUACGUCUUCUUCUGGGAGCUUUAUGGUUUAAGGUCUAACAAUUUCGUCUUUAAUCGUCUGUUGUUGUGGUUUGUUUUUGAAUGUUGUGAAGAAAGGGGUCCAGGUUUCCAUAACCAUUUAUUGAAGAGACAGCAUUUUCCGUGAUGGAUGUUCUUGGCCCCUUUGUCAUAGACUAAUAGGCCAUAUGAGCGCAGGUUUAUUUCUGACAGAGCAUCCCCAACUGUACCCUCCGUAAAGGCUGGGGUGAAGUAAGAAGACCCGGUGACUUCAGUGUCCGUCCACAGCUGGUGGCACACCAAGUCUGGAUGAGGUGCAUCCCUGAUGCUAGCCACAGGGCACUGGGGCAGGGAUGGUCAUCUCCGCCUGGCACAAGGUCCCCAGGGUGGGAUGCGACGGGCUCACUCCAGCAGCCAACCCAGGUCGAUCCCGCCACCCACAGUCCCUCAUUUAGCCAAUCAUGAAGGUUUUCACUGUAUAUGUUACAUCUCCUCCAUGCCGUGCCAGGCUGGCUAUUGAGACGGGGAGGUGAGGAGGAAUUGCAUGGCCAGUCCCUGCCCUCGAGAGUUGAGUCAUUGAGCAGAGAGGAGAUCUGACACCCUUAGAUGUGGUGGCGAGUGCCUCACUGAUCCCCUGUGAGGCUGCCUUGCUAGUAGAGGAGAAGAAUGACAAGGAUCAGCGUAGAUGAAGUGGCCAUGGCGGGAGGGGACAGGGUACUCUGGGUCCUUGCUGUGCCAGUCCCAACUGCAGAAUUACCCACGGCCUGCAUGAGGGCGCCCGGAGGAUGGAUAGGCGGUUGUAAAUGAAGAUAUCAGCUGUGCCACCCCCUCCCCACCUCAAAGUCUGUAUCCCCAACCUGCCCAUUGGGUGUUGGUGAUCUGGGGGUCACUUCUGAGCAGCAUACUCUCCCCAGUCACAGAGUAGGAGCCAGAAUCCUGUGAUGUGCAGAGAUGUCCAGCACGUCAAAUCCUAGGCCAGAGACCGAGCCAUAGGAACCAACAGGCCAGAGAACACUGGGUGUGAGUUGGCUUAAAGGCAGUGCCCCAAUAACAAAUCUGCAUGUACCUGUAGCAAGCAACGAUACUGAACCAUUCAUUUAAAGACCUUCCCACAGAGGGAAGUCCUGGGCCUCGUGGUUUCAUCAGUGAAAUCUAUCAAAGGUUUAAACAAGAAAUAGCACCCAUCCUUCACAGAUUCUUCCUGAAUAGACAGCAGGGAGGAAGGAACAUUUCCUAAUUCGUCCUAUAAGCACAGUAUUACCCCAGUACCAAAGCCAGAGUUGCCAUCACCAGAAAGCUACAGACCCAUUUCUAUCAUGAAUAGCGAUGCAUACACCCUCAACACAGUAUCUGCAAACCAGAUCGAGAAACAUUUUGCAAAGGGCUGUGCGAGAUCUUUCCCAGGACUGCAGUAUUGGACCAACACUCAACUUCAGUUAUGGGAAACAGCGUAUUGAUAUAAUGAAGGACGGAAACCACCUGCCAUCUUGACAGACAAAGAAAAAGCAUUUGACACAGUUCAAGACCCGUUCAUGACAAAUAAGUAAAUAACUAAAUCAAUAAACACGGUCAGCCAUCUCGGGAUAGAAGGGAUCGUCGUGGCCGUGUGAAGAACAUCCGUGAGAAACAUCCAGCUCUCGUCACAUCACAUCUAGUAGAGUCUGAGUGAAUGCUUGCCUCUUGAGAUCCAGACUAGGAAAGGAGGUCUGCUUCAACCACCUCUAUUCCACACUGACUGAAGGGUCUAGCCUGUGCACCAUGCAAAAGAAGAAAUGACAUCAUGGAGAAAUGAGAAAUGAAACCCAUGUCCACACAAAUACUCGUCCUUACAUGUCUUUCACAGCAGUACUGUUUAUAAUCUCCAAAUAGUGGAGCAGCCUAAAGGUCUGUCAGCUGGAGAGUGGUAAAGAGAGUAUUCUUAGCCAUUCAGUGGAACAACACAGAUGGAUGAAAAGUGAUGAACUUCUGCUUUCUGCUGCCACAUGGGUGAGCCUCCAAAGCACUGUGCUAAGUGAAAGAACCCAGACACAAAAGGCCACUUCCUGCAGGAGUCCAUUGAUGUGAAUGCCCACAAAGGGCAAAUCUACAGAGACAGAAAUUAGAUGAGAGGAUGCCUGGGCGUGCAGGUCCUGUUGGGGAUCGACUGCUGAUGGGUACACGGAACCUUUUAGUGGUGUUGGCAGUGUUGCACAACUGCACUGUGGAGGUGGUUGCACCACUGUGUGAAGUUAUCAAAGACACUGCACUGGAUGCAUUGAAUGACUGUGAUUUGUGGUGUGUAAGUAUACCUCAGUAAAGCAGUUUAGGAAGGUAAUGCAGAUGUCCACGUGAGACAUGUGGGAAAAGAUAGGCCAUUGCUUUUGUAACAGCGAGGAGUGCCCCUGCUCCUUCCACGUUCUGGGUCCGGCCUCCUCCACAUGUGCUAGAUGCUCCCUCCAGAGACAGUCGCUGUGCACGUCAGGACGGAAUCCCCAGUGAGCACACACGUCGAGUGUGUCUUUGUGUUUACGCACAGGCGCCCAUUGUGUGACCACAAGUCAGUGGCUCUGGACAGGCUCCCAGAACCCACCCUGCAUCUGAAAUUCUACUUAGUUUUUUCCCAUUCUUCUCAAAUCACGUGGACCCAGCUUCCGUUUCCCAGAUUCAGUAACGGAUCUUGGCCCUUAGUUCCAACCUCUGGUCACAGGAAUACCUGUUAACCUGGUGCGAGGGCCCCUUCCUGACCUCAGCGACCCAGGAGGGAUGCUCAGCAGAGCAGUAACCAAGACAACGGAACUCCAUCCAUCCUCCUUCUGCCGCCAAGACUGAGGUGCGUUCCCUCCCAUCCAUCUAUCUGCCUGAGUGUCUGGUAAGGAAGGGGACUUGGGGGCAUAACACACCACUGAGUCAUUGAAAUUGUUCUAAAUAUAGCUGUGACUAAAUAUGUCAAAAUACCACUCAGAAGGGAAGACACAUAAUUUAAAAAAAAUUUUGCUUUAGUAGCAAACAUGGCUCUUCAGUUCAGGAUUCUAUUUAAAAGCAGGAAGGGUGAAGCAUCAUGCGAUUGGGCUUCUCAACCUAAACUGUGCAUCAAAUCUCCCCUGGAGAGGCUUUAGAAGAGCUGAUGCUGGCAGGACAUCCCCAGAGGGUCUGAAGUAGUAGGUCUGGAAUGUGGCCCUGGCGUGAGCAUUGUCUGAAAGUGUUCUCUUGUGAAAGCCGAGCUUGCAGCUGUGGAAACAGAACCCAUGCUUACAGGAGGAAAUCGAAGAUCAAAAAUUUGCGACUCCUCUCUGCAGCGAAAGCAGGUUUUCAUCAUGACCCGCUAUACUUGACAGCUAUCUUAGGCUGAGGAAAGGGACAACUUGCCCAAAUUAACACUGCUUUGAAAACUGACCUUGUGCUUGCUCUGCUGCAUGUUCCUGAAUCCAAAGUUUUACAGUUGAAACCCUGCUGUUGUUAGUGAAACUCCGUACGUUUUAGUUCUUGUCAGGAUCCCUUGUGCCUAGUUAGUUGAAUACAUUUCUAAAACACUGUGGAGAUAACUUCAUUCGACAGAUCAGAAUAGUGCAUCAAAGUUUAAAGAUGGCUGAGAAUUGUAGCUGCUGAUGUUGAUGUACGAGGAUCGGCUGUCCGCGUAUCUGCUGUCUGCGCUCAGUUGCCGUUUUAACCUGUUUGCCGUGUGAUCACAUUAACUCCCGCGCUCAGAUGAAGACCGAAUCGGAACGGGAUGCUUAUUGGGAGAAAUACAGUUAAGCAAUCCCUUGUUUGGUGCACACCCAUGAAGACCCACCUCCCUCAAAGUUCUUUAGGGGUCUCUUCCAAAUAUUCUUUGGCACAUUCCCCAGUGAUGGGCUUGCACUGCUGUGUCCUGACUCAUCGUCUUGGUAAAGACAGGGCUUUCAACCUCUCAGGUGCAUUACAGCACCCGGGUUCUCUCAGAGAUCCAAAAGAGGGUGAAUGCCCGAGCUCAGGACACCUUCAGAGCGUGUCUGCAGGAACAGGGCCUCUCAGAGGAACCCAUCCCCACCUGUGGCAACAGGAAGAUCUCGCGUCAGCCUUUUCCAGAGCAGCUCCAGAGAUGUCAUGGCACAGUGAAGAUCACACCCAGCAGCAUGCCCGGGAUUGUGGUUUAAGGAACUGUGUGGAUGGCAGUGCCCAUCCGUGUGACAGGAAACGUUGCCCUGGGGCUACUAGCAGGCCUGCAGGGCUUAUGGGACAACUGAGUGCACAUGCCCCAUACGUCUCAGCCUGUGGGGAAUCUGGGGCCCAGCUGAGAUGUUCUACGUAGAUUUAGUGGUAGGAAAAGCCAACAGCAUACAGGGGGAUACUGCUGAAAACAAGUCAGAUGGGUAAAAGCUCUGGCGGGUGACGUGGUCCCCAAGGCUCAUGUAUGGAGUGGAAGAGCACAGGGCAGAGGUUGGAAACCAGAGGAAAACAAAGCCCAAGAUUUAGGAGGGGAUCAAAGUAAAUGGACAGAUAAGGAGACUUAGAAGUAAUGGCCUGAGAGGUUUGGGGAAAGCCAGGGUGGGCUGCUGUCACAGACUCUGACCAAGGAAAAGUGGUUUUGAAAACGGAAUGUAUCUGUGGCCAAUAGAGCACUGGGUACUAUGGUUUGGCCCACGGAGCUCUUGGGAGACGUUAGCAAGGGGAUGUUCUGUGGAUGGGCACAUGGCGGAGGAAUCGAGAGGUAACCAGAUAAGGAUGGUCCUGGUGUCUAUACUUUGAAGAAGCAUGGCUUGAAAGGAACCAAAGACGCACAGUAUUGGAAGUAGCGGGCUGUGUGCUCACAGGGUGUGCUCUCCUCUCCUGGCUCCACCUGGUGAUGCUGACCUGCACCGCCCGUGGGUGGGGGUGGUGAAACUUGCAUUUUUGUCUCCCUCCUCUUGCUGUGGGCCCGGUCCUCCCCGGCUGACUGAGCCUCAGCCACCCUGCUGGCAUGUGCAGACCCCUCUGAAUCUGGGUCUGAUCGUCCAGCCCAUCCCCGGGCAGGGACGUCCACUCCUCAGCCUCAGCCGCAAGGUCCCCUAGCCCGUUGCCUGCUUAGGCUUCGUCUGGAUUCAGCCCCUUUCCACAUUUCUCCCUCGGGUGUUGCAGAGCCCUCCCUUGGAUUUCACCUGCACCGCAGCAGGAACCAAGAUCAGCUCCAGAAAAUGAAAUUCCUAAACUGCAGCCACCCUUCUGCCCAAAGCCUCCGUUGGGUCAUUGUACAGUGUGCCCCCUGUGAGUCCCAAGUGUGAAUGGGGUGCAACCCUCCUUUCCCUGGUGUUCCUCUUCAUUUCUUGUCACACCUCCCUUGUCUGAGCUCUCUCACCUCUGCCUGCCACUGCCUCUGUGGGCCAUUCCCCCGCUGUGACUGGGACGCUCUUUCCUCUGGCUUGUCUUUCAUUUGACCCAAGACUUCCCAAACAAUAUCCAGGUGUAGAAUAUGUACCUUGUCGAGUACAUCUAGGAGACGAUGUUGUCACAUAAGCCCCCGCCCCUGAACUAUAAAAAAAAACAGAGGGAUAAAGAACACAAGAGUCAAAUAUGCCAAAGGUGCCUGAGAUGUUGGUUAAGGUGAGCACUGAAGAGUGUCUGUGGGAUCAGGAAGUAUGGAUAUUAAUGAUGGCCAUGACGAGGGCAGUUACAGUGGAGUGACUGGGACAAAAGCUCCGUGGAAGGGGGCUGAGGAGAGAAUAUCUCAGCAGAAUCUGAAGCAGUUUUACUUUGAAGGGCAACCGGUAAUGUGCCAGUAGCUGCAGAAUAGGGUGGUGGAAGACGGUGGGUUUCCCCCUGUGCUGUGGAAUGCUCCGAUGUAGAGGGAGCAGCUGCUGGUUCAGGAGAGAGGAAUGAUAACUGCAGGUGCAAAGGCCCUGAGAAGGUGCAAGGCAUGGGAUCCCGGGCAGAGGUGAGGGGCUGGGUGCAGUCAGGAGCAGGCGUGGAGAGGGGCAGCAGAGUGCCAGGGCAGAAACAUGCAGAUCGGGACUGGGAAACUUGAGAAAUCCCACGGGGUUGCUUCGGUAUUCUCCAGGAAUUAUUAGUGGGUGGAGCUGGUGGUCAUUAGCAUGGAGGAAGGUUACUAGUGUGUCGUGUAGGAGUGUAGCUAGGUGACCGCAAGGAGCCCAAGAGGUGUGUUUGUCGGGGAGAGGUGUGUUUGCGGGGGACAGCUUCCAGCCCUGGCUCAGCCUAUCCGGGAGGGGCCUGGUGCAUGCUGGGAAAGGACGCGUGGUCGGUGAGCUGGGUCUCCAGGAGGUCGUAUCCGUGCCCUGGCACUAGUGCGAAGGAGCUGGAGGACAGGACGUCAUGUUGAGGGUGAUGACUGGGAGGAAGGCUGGAAACAGGACAGCAUGAGGGCGCGCGGUCUUUCCUGAUGCCUGGGGCGGGACCGUGGGCAGAGGGAUGCUCGGGUGGGGAGGAAGGGAGCAUCGCUAAGGACGGAGAGUCUCCCGGGGUGACCGGGUGAGCCUCGUGGGCACUGAGGACGGAUCAGAAGAGUGAGGCCUGAGAGAACAGUGAGUGUACCACGGGAGGAACGCGUUCACAGGCCGGGGGUGGGAGGGAGGAGAAUGGACAGGGGACUUGUAACGUCCCCGUACGUGGGGGGCUUCGGUGGGGGGCUUCGGCAGUGGGCGACAGGACCCGGACGUCACCGUUCAGGUUCUUCAGUGGAGAGUUCGAAACGCGGUCCCCGAGAAAACUCCCAGCCGACCAGGGCCAGGAGACUGGCAUGGGCCUCACUGGGUGGCUGCGCGCAGGCCCAGAGCCAGCCAAUCGGAGUUCAGCCCCGCCCACCAAGCUCAGGAUCUUCCCGGACACCCUGACUUCCUGCCCAUGUUGCUUUGGUCCCGCGAACGGCUGGCUGUCCAGGGAUGGUUUGGCCGGACCCGGUCCAGAGAUUCCCUUCCUUUCUCUGGUCCUUACGGGCAUCCCCCUUAACUUUGGCAUCCACGCUGUCCAGACCUCUGCGCGAAAAUCCAGCAGAAACGAUGAAUUUUCUUCCGGGCUUGCGGCAUUUUGGUUUCUGCGGUCUGCAGGUGGCAGUGUUGCUCCAUCCACAGUGUCGCCGGGCCGGUUUUUCCUCUGCUCUCGCGCUUUAAUAAAAGGACAGGAAGCCUUUUCCCACAAGCAGGGGCUGGUUUGGUUUUGUUUUCCUCCGCUUGUGCCGGUUGCCUGAUUCAAACUGCAUCGGAGCCCUUCAGAGAGCCCGUUGUGAGAACUUUGACCGGACCCACUGACACUUAAAAUUACAAUAAAAUAAUAUAAGCUGACGUAGUGAAUGGUAGUGGAGGGAGUAAACCCUCCCUUGUCUUGUUUACCCUUGUCUUGCUUCGGAUCCUUGAGAUAUUCAUGUAUGUUUAAAGAGAACUUUUAUUAUGACAGUGAGCUUUGACUUCAAAAUCAUUACGUGAAGUGGAAGUGAAAGUGGCUCAGACUUGUCUGAUUCUUUAAGACCCCUGGGAAUGUAGCCUGCCAGGCUCCUCUGCCCAUGGGAUUCUCCAGGCAAGAAUAAUGGAGUAGGUUGCCAUUUCCUUCUCCAGAGGAUCUUCCCAACCCAGCGAUUGAAUCUGGCUAUCCUGCACUGCAGGCUGACUCCUUACCAUCUGAGCCACCUACAAUAAUUACAUGACAGGGACAAGUGCCGAGCCAUGAUCCUGCUGGGUAAUUGAUGCUGGACACCACCCAAGAAGCAGAUGCUAUUACUGCCCUCACUUUAUGCCUUUGGGACCUGGGGCACACAGAGGAAGAGUCAGCUCUCCAGGUUCUCAGGGUUCUUCAGAGAGUGUCCCUAUGUUCAGGUCUCAAGGCUGUCACAUUGUAGCUUGCACACUGGUUUGCAGGAUACAUUCACCUCCCCAGUGGAAGAGUGAAAGAAAAUGCUCACUGGGAUCCAGGGUAAGACAGCCUGCAAUGCUUCGAAAGACUGACUGCAGGAGGAGAAGGGGAUGACAGAGGACAAGAUGGUUGGAUCGCAUCACUGACUCAAUGGACAUGAGUCUGAGCAAGCUCCGGGAGGUGGUGAAGGACAGGGAAGCCUCCUGACGUGCUGCAUGCAGUCCAUGGGGUCGCAAAGAGUCGGACACGGCCGACGGACUGAAAACCAACAAUAACAUAUUUAUGACAAUGAGAUACUAAAUGAAAGGGGGCGGGGAGGGAAACUACAUAGAAAACGACUCAUCCACUCUAUCAAGAUUAUGACAUGGUAACACAUUUAUAAUGCAAAGCACCUGGAAGUAGUCAGCUGUUACAGAGUACAAGUUGCUCAGCUCACUGCAAGGUGGGUCAGGAAGGGACUUUAAUCCAGAGUGGACAGACAGAGAAGAGGGCAGAGUCGACUGACAGAAAAGAGGUCAGGGUAGUGACGCAAAAUAAUCAUCUUGUUGGGGCCAGGUUGGACAGGACCCAGACAUCACGGAUCAAGUCCUUCAGUGGAGAGUUCCAAGCUGCUUCAGGGAGAAAUCUCCCAGCAGACACAGGCUGGGAGACUGGCACUGACCUCACUGCUCCCCGGGGCAGGCCCAGAACCAGCCCUCAGCAACCCCGGAUAUUCCUGGACCUCCUGACUUCUUGCCCGCCUCGCUGUGGUUCUGUGGGCGGGUCGAGCGGAACUCGCGCGGUCCAGGGCCGGUUGGCCCGGGCCCCUUCGAGAGCUUCCCUUUCUUUCUCUGGUCCUCAGGGGCAUCCCCCAUUAAGUCCUCUGCCCGAAAACCGAGCGGCAAGGAUCGAUUUUCUUCCGGGCUUGCUGGCAGUUUGGUUUCUGUGGUCUGCAGGGGGCAGUGUUGCCCCGCGGAGCUGCUUGCCCGUUUCUCCCCCGCCCGUCCGGUUUGAAAAAAGGUCUCAAAGCCUUUUGUGGUAAUCAGCGGCGCAUUUUCUUUCUGUGCUUGUGCCGGUUGGCUGGCUGGAAGUGCUGAGGCAAAUGCUGAGACACAUAUUAAGCAAACUGAAAAAUUAACGACAGAGAGAAAAUGUUAAGCAGGUCAAGGGAAAAGUAGCAAAUAACAUCGGAGGGAAUCCUAAUAAGUUUAUGAGCUGAUUUCUCAGCAGAAACUCUGCAGGCCAGAAGGGAGUGGCAUGAUGUAUAUAAAGUGGUGAAAGGGAAAAAGCUACAAUCAAAAAUACUCUACCAAGCAAGGCUCUUCUUUCAGAUUCAACAGAGUAAUCAAAAGACAGGCAAAGGCUCAGAAUUCAACAGUACCACACCAGCUUUACAACAAAGACUAAUGUAACAUCUCUAGGCAAGAACAAAAAGAAAGACCAAUGGAACACAAUAGGAAACCCAGAGAUAGACCCAUGCACCUAUGGGGCACCUCAUCUAUACCCAAGGAGAGCACUCUUGCCUGGAAAAUCCAUGGACAAAGGAGCCAGUUUGCUUAAUAUGUGUCUCAGCAUUUGCCUCAGCACUUCCAGCCAGCCAACCGGCACAAGCACAGAAAGAAAAUGCGCCGCUGAUUACCACAAAAGGCUUUGAGACCUUUUUUCAAACAGGACGGGCGGGGGAGAAACGGGCAAGCAGCUCCGCGGAGCAACACUGCCCCCUGCAGACCACAGAAACCAAACUGCCAGCAAGCCCGGAAGAAAAUCGAUCCUUGCCGCUCGGUUUUCGGGCAGAGGACUUAAUGGGGGAUGCCCCUGAGGACCAGAGAAAGAAAGGGAAGCUCUCGAAGGGGCCCGGGCCAACCGCCCCUGGACCGCGCGAGUUCCGCUCGACCCGCCCACAGAACCACAGCGAGGCGGGCAAGAAGUCAGGAGGUCCAGGAAUAUCCGGGGUUGCUGAGGGCUGGUUCUGGGCCUGCCCCGGGGAGCAGUGAGGUCAGUGCCAGUCUCCCAGCCUGUGUCUGCUGGGAGAUUUCUCCCUGAAGCAGCUUGGAACUCUCCACUGAAGGACUUGAUCCCUGAUGUCUGGGUCCUGUCCAACCUGGCCCCAACAAGAUGAUUAUUUUGCGUCACUACCCUGACCUCUUUUCUGUCAGUCGACUCUGCCCUCUUCUCUGUCUGUCCACUCUGGAUUAAAGUCCCUUCCUGACCCA